GGAGUUAUGACUCAGCAGUAGAGUGCUCGUCUAGCACACGUGAGGCCCUGGGUUCAAUCCUCAGCACCA
rnacentral:tRNA from 1 species